rnacentral:lncRNA from 1 species
GGAGAUUGGAAACCUCACAGCAACACUUCCAAAAUUCCCUUGUAGCUAGGGUGUGGAUGUGAAACACCCUCUGUCAACCAGGUGCCCUCUUGUGAGAUUUGGAGGCAGAUGAAAAGAGAGGCCAUGCUUUGGCUGCUGUUGUUGCAGCAAGUGGGGUCAGAGAGGUCAUGUUAAAAGGCAGCUAAUGUUUCUGGGCUUGGGGUCCCUCUGAGGGGCUAGUUGCCAGCUCUGUGGGUGUGGAAGGCAGCUGUGGUGGCAACAGCACUGUCCUGAUUGUGGGAUCAUAGCUACUGUGGUGCCCUUGAACUCAGCACUCCAGGGGAAGUCCCUGACUUCUACCCACCCCUUCCCGGCCCCCAGCCCUUUUUCAAUUGUAUAAGCCCCUGCUUAGUUCUCAGGAAUAAAUCUUUCUCUGCUUGAAAUAUCUAAAGUGAUUUCUAUUAGUAAACCCAACACAUAUUCAGCCUUCCAGAUAAGUCUGGGUCUUUCUUGAGCCAUGAGGUUAGGCUAAGUGCCUCCUCGGAGCCCCAAAUGCCCCACUUUGCUGUCCAUGCCUUCUUAUCUUUGUGUUUCCAGCACCAGUGCUUGGCUCACAGCAGGUGCAUAGUCAAUGCUUAGUGAACUGAAGCUUCCUCUAUCAAGAACCAGGAGGCUCUGAAAUCUAGUCUGAGGGGCAUCCUACCUUAUGCUUG